rnacentral:rRNA from 1 species
GAUGAACGCUAGCGGCAGGCCUAACACAUGCAAGUCGAGGGGUAGAAGGGGCUUGCUCCUUUGAGACCGGCGCACGGGUGCGUAACGCGUAUGCAAUCUACCUUGUACAGGGGAAUAGCCCAGAGAAAUUUGGAUUAAUGCCCCAUAGUAUAUAACCUUCGCAUGUUGGUUAUAUUAAAGUUCCAACGGUACAAGAUGAGCAUGCGUCCCAUUAGUUAGUUGGUAAGGUAACGGCUUACCAAGACGAUGAUGGGUAGGGGUCCUGAGAGGGAGAUCCCCCACACUGGUACUGAGACACGGACCAGACUCCUACGGGAGGCAGCAGUGAGGAAUAUUGGUCAAUGGUCGCAAGACUGAACCAGCCAUGCCGCGUGCAGGAAGACGGUCCUAUGGAUUGUAAACUGCUUUUAUACAGGAAGAAACCCUCCCACGUGUGGGAGCUUGACGGUACUGUAGGAAUAAGGAUCGGCUAACUCCGUG